GGCCGGGGCCGGUGGCCUCGUGGGCGCGGAGCCCGCGGUCAGUGCUGCGGGCGGGGCUGGAGUCCGGCCGCCCGGCCCGCCGUCGCCUCGUGAGGAAGGGCAUCGUCCCGGUCGCGUGCCGCGGUCCUUUCGGGGCGGCUCCCGCCCGGGGCGAGUUCCGCGGGACCCAACUCCAAAAGGAGGGACCCGAGCAGAAACCGUUAACCUUGGAAACCACGCGGCUUGUUCACAAUCUCUUGGAGCUGUGCUACCAGGGCACACCUGUGAACAAGUCAAGACUAGGGUCUCAUGUAAUUUACGUGGAAGAAGACAAAGACCAGAAUGUGGCGGUGCCAGCAGAGAAUGUGGAGUAUGUUCAGCUGUUCCAGGCCCCAAACACCCUUCUUUUGCUUCUGUGACUUGUUUCCUGAACCUCUGGCUGGCUCACUCCUGCUACCUCUGUAACUUUUUAAAAAAACAUCUUUUAAUUGAUUUCGGAGAGGAAGAGAGAGAGAGAAACAUCAAUGAUGAGAAUCAUCCAUCGCUGCCUCCUGCAUGCCCCAUACUGGGGAUCGAACCUGCAGCCGGGACACGUGCCCUUGACCAGAAUCGAAGUGUGACCUCCUGUUUCCUAGAUCGAUGCUCAACCACUGAGCCACGCCAGCUGGCCUGUAACUUUCUAAAUACACUUUCUCUUAAAAAGC